rnacentral:rRNA from 1 species
CUUAAAGGAAUUGACGGGGGCCCGCACAAGCGGCGGAGCAUGUGGAUUAAUUCGAUGCAACGCGAAGAACCUUACCUGGGUUUGACAUGCACAGGACGCCGGCAGAGAUGUCGGUUCCCUUGUGGCCUGUGUGCAGGUGGUGCAUGGCUGUCGUCAGCUCGUGUCGUGAGAUGUUGGGUUAAGUCCCGCAACGAGCGCAACCCUUGUCUCAUGUUGCCAGCGGGUAAUGCCGGGGACUCGUGAGAGACUGCCGGGGUCAACUCGGAGGAAGGUGGGGAUGACGUCAAGUCAUCAUGCCCCUUAUGUCCAGGGCUUCACACAUGCUACAAUGGCCGGUACAAAGGGCUGCGAUGCCGUGAGGUGGAGCGAAUCCUUUCAAAGCCGGUCUCAGUUCGGAUCGGGGUCUGCAACUCGACCCCGUGAAGUCGGAGUCGCUAGUAAUCGCAGAUCAGCAACGCUGCGGUGAAUACGUUCCCGGGCCUUGUACACACCGCCCGUCACGUCAUG